CAGCCGCCGCGGUAACACGUAGGGUGCAAGCGUUAAUCGGAAUUACUGGGCGUAAAGCGUGCGCAGGCGGUGUUGUAAGACUGAUGUGAAAUCCCCGGGCUCAACCUGGGAACUGCAUUUGUGACUGUAUAGCUAGAGUACGGCAGAGGGGGAUGGAAUUCCGCGUGUAGCAGUGAAAUGCGUAGAUAUGCGGAGGAACACCGAUGGCGAAGGCAAUCCCCUGGGCCUGUACUGACGCUCAUGCACGAAAGCGUGGGGAGCAAACAGGAUUAGAUACCCGCGUAGUCCCUGUCUCUUAUAC
rnacentral:rRNA from 1 species